CGCUAUUAAAUUUUCAAGAAGUAACUCCUCCAUCCGGCUAUACCGAUUUUGUGUUUCCUGUUCUGUUAACUUGUCUUGUUCCGGUUGAGGCGGUGGAUUCUGCGUUGUCUGCCCAUGCUGCUCAUCCACAAUGGGGGCAUAAUGUUUGCUUGAUGGUUGGACAACUCCCACAGUUGAUGAUGUUUGUCAUAACUUACGUGGAGGAGUAGUGGACAUUUCUCAACUUCCAGAGGCUGCUACUGGUUGGAUCCGAGUUGCUGUUAAAGAUAGUAUAAAAUCAGCACAAGCCAAGGUACUUACCAGAACUAGGCUGAGGCGUGCUUGGGGCUGAUCACCCUUCAGAGUAUUUUUGGUGAUCUGGAAAACAUCAAGGUGAAGAGACAGCUCUCUGUUGCCUGACAGAUUUGUCUGUCCUACUUGCGUUCCGGACACCUGUGACAACAGCCUCUGGAAAUAGUUUGUCCCGGACCUCCUUCUCCCAACUGUUAAAACGCA